rnacentral:ncRNA from 2 species
GAGUUCUUGUCGGGGUGCCUCGAAUCGGAGGCUGAGAUCGGAUAGUUCCGGAUCCCGUUGAACCUGAUCAGGUUAAGGCCUGCGUAGGGAACAAGAUGUGCCUCCCC